CGAACUUCUAGUAAAAGAAGAAAAAAAUCCCUCGACGCCCACCUUAUCCACUCCCCCCCGCAUCCUCUCACAAUCCUCCCCGACCGACCUCCCGCCGCCGCCUCCCUGGCUUUGGCGCGCCUCUCGUCGCCGUCUCCCUGGCUCCGGCAAGCCUCCCGUCGCUAGCCCCACGACACUGGUGUGCUUCCCGCCGCUACCUCCCUUAGCCCCGAUGCGCCCCGCCCCCACCCACCCUGGCCACGACGCGCCUCCGCCACCGCCCUUCUGGCCCAGAUGCUCUCCUGCCGCCUCCCUCCACCUGCUUCGAUGAUGGUGCCGGCCACCUCCACCUUCUUCCACCGCUGCAUCGGCCACCCCCACCUUCUUCCACCACGGCGCCGGCCUCCCCCUCCUUCGACUGCGCCGCCAAGGCCUCUAUGUUGAGCUUCGCCGCUGGAAACCUUCCCUGCCGCUCAGUUCAACUUCGUCGGCCAACGCGGUCCACCACGUCGCCUGGAUUCCAAUCCAACCCGCCGUCCAACACGGACAAGUUCCUCCAUCCAUUAUCUUGACCAAAAUCAGAUCCAAGGUCAAGAUUGGUUCCAGAAACACGGCUUCUUUGUCUUGAGCAAGACAAUGCACAUACCUGGGCAGUGUUCAGUACCACAUUCUUGCAGUCAGGAAGGAUGCUGACGGACCAUGCAGGGAGUUUAUACACCUUGCCGUUGAAGGUGACAGUCUUGUCAGACUGAUUGUCUAUAUUCACGAGGAAUGUCGCGCAUAGUGAGCUGGUCUUGCAUACGUGCGCCUGAAGCCAGAAGAAAAAUGCAGAUACCAUCAUCAUCGUUAAGCACAAUAGGUGAGAGCAGACCAUAAAGGUACGGACAUACAUUAUCAUUCCUUAGCAAGAUUUGCUCCGCGACGCUGAUUGAUUUGUCUUUCUUUUUCUCGUUAAAACAGAAGUUGCUUUGAUUUGUCUCUCUUUUCGUUAAACAAAAGUUGCUUUUGUGGAAAGCGGAUUGUGUACCUGCAAAUUGUCGCCAGCCAACGCGGUCCACCAUGUCGCCUGGAUUCCAAUCCAACCCAUCGUCCAGCAUAUCGACGCCCCCCAGGUACUUCAAUAUUGGGGAAAAAUGAGUCUUCUUCUCCAAAAUGCAACAACGUCGUGAAGUGCUAAAUUCUUCUUGUGUGCUUCUAUAGAGUCUUGUGUUUCAGUGACCACCAUGACGAACCAUCUCAGCCUAUUUUGCAGAAGCAAGUCACAUGAUAGUUUUUAGGCGGAAUGUAUUUCACAGGUAAUAGGAAAUCAAGGUCCAGAGAGAUUUUUUAGCACAUUCAGAGAGCUUUUUUAGUGCACUGCAGCCAAACCCAUUCUGAAGGCCAGACUUAUGAUGUUUGGUUUUGAUUUUAUUUUACAAACGAAGUUGUUAGCAGCAGUAGAUCUUGGGAUUUGGGCACACAAGGAAGAAGACGAAAAGAAAAAGGGUGAGUUGGAGAUUGCAUGUUCUUUGCUCAGAAGGAUAAGAUCCUUUUUGGUUUUAGCUAGAGAACUCCUAGUGGGGUAAACAAGCAACUUAAUGGUUUGCUCUGUUUAA